GGGCCCAGCUGCUGCAGGGUUCUCCAAGUCUCCAGGUUAUUGUCAGCACCUUGAAAGACUCAAGUUGGCAACAUGAUAACAUCCCUUUGACGCCCAAAUGAAAUCCAGGGGGCCUGUGAUUAGUGUGGCUCCAAUUAAAGCAAAAUCCCAGUGGCCUUGAUCCUGCAAGCCAAUCUACCGAGCAGACCCUGCAGCUGUGACUCAUUGAUGUCAGUGGGUCUCCAGGGUCAAACCUUAACUGCUGAAGAAGAGGAGUUGGCUAUGACAUGGACAUCCAGCAAUCAUCCGUCCAUAAUGCCAGUUAUAAUAAACGUCAGAGGUAAGGGUGAACCAUUCAAGAAAUAUGUUUGCUGAUGAUGUUUUAAAGAAAGUCCCACUAGUGAACUGUUGGAAGUCACUUAAGCACUUGGAUUCAGAGA